UUGUGACAUCAAAAACUAAACAUAGAAAUGUUGUAUUUUGCAGGCCCAGAAAAUACUUAGCUCUGACCAGUUGGUGACCCUCUAUAAAGUUCAAGUGAAACCCACACUAAAGUACUGUUUACAUAUCAGGAAAAGUGCUGCUGCUACUGCUACAACUACUGCUGCUAUGCUAAACUUCAGCAGUUAUCACUUCAAAGACUACUUGGUAGCACAGUACCAUACUGUUACUAAUUGUUUUUGGUACUCAUGUUUUUAUCUCUUUCCAGCUCCACCCAACCAUUCUUACCCUUUCUUCCAAAUCUGAGUAGUCAUAUAGCUCCACUAUAGCAAGAAACCUGUUUUGCCUCUGUCUCUCCUACUUUAACCCCUCAUUGCUUAUCAU